AAGUCGUAACAAGGUUUCCGUAGGUGAACCUGCGGAAGGAUCAUUAAUGAAGUAUGGGCUUCGGCCCUCUCUCUUCUAAACACACUUGUGAACCUACCCUGUUGCUUUGGCAGGUCGGUCUAACUGACCGGAGAGGAGUGGAUUAAAAAUCUUGAAAGGUCAAACCGAAAGGUGCCUGCCAAAGAUCUUAUUCUCACACUUUUUUAUUGUCUGAUUUUUUGUUUAUACAAAAUAACAAAACUUUCAACAAUGGAUCUCUUGGCUCUG
rnacentral:misc_RNA from 1 species